CUCAGACUGGUCCAGGUCUCAGACUGGUCCAGGUGUCAGGUCUCAGACUGGUCCAGGACUCAGACUGGUCCAGGUGUCAGGACUCAGACUGGUCCAGGUCUCAGACUGGUCCAGGUGUCAGGACUCAGACUGGUCCAGGUCUCAGACUGGUCCAGGUGUCAGGACUCAGACUGGUCCAGGACUCAGACUGGUCCAGGUGUCAGGACUCAGACUGGUCCAGGUCUCAGACUGGUCCAGGUGUCAGGUCUCAGACUGGUCCAGGACU